GCAGGCUGCAACUCGCCUGCAUGAAGUCGGAAUUGCUAGUAAUCGCGGAUCAGCAUGCCGCGGUGAAUACGUUCCCGGGCCUUGUACACACCGCCCGUCACACCAUGGGAGUCGGUAACACCCGAAGCCGAUAGUCUAACGAAAGAGGACGUCGUCGAAGGUGGGAUUGAUGACUGGGGUGAAGUCGUAACAAGGUAAC
rnacentral:rRNA from 1 species